ACAGCACGAGGGGGGUUGGACGAACUGCAAGACAAAAAAGCUCAGUUCUACACACAGGCCCAGCCAGAUCCUGUGGGCGAAAGUCGCCGGAGCCAGCGGGUGUUCGCGUGUUGAGGUGCUGGAGUGCUGCUUCUCUGCCGAGGACGCCGUGCUGCACCGGCGCCGCCACAUGUCCGAUUUCUCCUUUGGUGAAUGAAGCCUCGGGUCCAGCAGCCACAUGCGCUACAGAAUACAAGUGUUUGCAGUUUGCUCACCAGAAUGUUGAAUGAGACUACAUCAUUAUUACUCAAAAAAUUAUUUUGUAUUUCUUCAGAAUUGUUCUCCGUAUCCGUGGCAAAGAAUGAUUUUUUUCUGGUUUAAUGCAAUCCUCCUGUGUCAACCCGGCAAUUCGACCCAUGGGCGGCCGCGCCCAUGGACACCCGAUCCGAAUGGGCAGGGU